GAAACGACAAAAGGAAAGACGAGUAAGUUUGGCUAUCCCAACAGUGAAUCGAGAUCAGUGGAAACUCGACGGGGCAAAGCCUUCCUGAAUAACACUUUCUUAGUCUCGGGCUGAACGAUAUUCUAGUAGGCCCCGACGUAACCGGUACGUUAUCAUCCGGAGGCGUAUGCUUGUACGCUGUGUGAGGUGGUCUAUUUCAUGAUAGACAACUUGGGUGGUACCGCGAAAAGUCUUUCGUCCCUUGA
rnacentral:ncRNA from 1 species